rnacentral:rRNA from 1 species
CCUACGGGAGGCAGCAGUGGGGAAUAUUGGGCAAUGGGCGCAAGCCUGACCCAGCAACGCCGCGUGAAGGAAGAAGGCUUUCGGGUUGUAAACUUCUUUUCUCAGGGACGAAGCAAGUGACGGUACCUGAGGAAUAAGCCACGGCUAACUACGUGCCAGCAGCCGCGGUAAUACGUAGGUGGCAAGCGUUAUCCGGAUUUACUGGGUGUAAAGGGCGUGUAGGCGGGACUGCAAGUCAGAUGUGAAAACCACGGGCUCAACCUGUGGCCUGCAUUUGAAACUGUAGUUCUUGAGUACUGGAGAGGUAAGUGGAAUUCCUAGUGUAGCGGUGAAAUGCGUAGAUAUUAGGAGGAACACCAGUGGCGAAGGCGGCUUACUGGACUGUAACUGACGUUGAGGCUCGAAAGCGUGGGGAGCAAACAGGAUUAGAUACCCUUGUAGUC